rnacentral:ncRNA from 1 species
GAGUAGGCUUUGAAGCGUUAAGUGCUUGGUAAACAGGAAGUUGUUAUCAGGACGAAAAGAUUUUUCUUGCGAUUUCUCAGCCGCAUUCCGCUGC